GUGCUCACUUCAGCAGCACAUAUACUAAAAUUGAAAUGAUACAGGGAAAAUUAGCAUGGCCCCUGCACAAGGAUGACACAUACAUUUGUGAAGCAUUCCAUGUUUUU
rnacentral:snRNA from 1 species